rnacentral:other from 1 species
GCGGUGCUGCGGGGUGCGUCAGGAGACUUGAAUCCCCGGGCCCUUACGAUUCCGAACGGGAGCUGUCACUGGUCUCGACCGUGGUCUUGGUCACAACGGCGCCCACCUACUAUGUAGGUGUCCCGGGAUCUUACAUCCAACGGCCUCUGCGGCUCCGCG